UCAGGACGAACGCUGGCGGCGUGCUUAACACAUGCAAGUCGAACGAAUGAUGCCCAGCUUGCUGGGCGGAUUAGUGGCGAACCGGGUGAGUAAUACGUGAGUAACCUGCCCUUGACUCUGGGAUAAGCCUGGGAAACUGGGUCUAAUACUGGAUACUACCUCUUACCGCAUGGUGGGUGGUGGAAAAGGGUUUUACUGGUUUUGGAUGGGCUCACGGCCUAUCAGCUUGUUGGUGGGGUAAUGGCUCACCAAGGCGACGACGGGUAGCCGGCCUGAGAGGGUGACCGGCCACACUGGGACUGAGACACGGCCCAGACUCCUACGGGAGGCAGCAGUGGGGAAUAUUGCACAAUGGGCGGAAGCCUGAUGCAGCGACGCCGCGUGAGGGAUGACGGCCUUCGGGUUGUAAACCUCUUUCAGUAGGGAAGAAGCGAGAGUGACGGUACCUGCAGAAGAAGCGCCGGCUAACUACGUGCCAGCAGCCGCGGUAAUACGUAGGGCGCAAGCGUUGUCCGGAAUUAUUGGGCGUAAAGAGCUCGUAGGCGGUUUGUCGCGUCUGCUGUGAAAGCCCGGGGCUCAACCCCGGGUCUGCAGUGGGUACGGGCAGACUAGAGUGCAGUAGGGGAGACUGGAAUUCCUGGUGUAGCGGUGAAAUGCGCAGAUAUCAGGAGGAACACCGAUGGCGAAGGCAGGUCUCUGG
rnacentral:rRNA from 1 species